CCUACGGGAGGCUGCAGUGGGGAAUAUUGGACAAUGGGGGGAACCCUGAUCCAGCGACGCCGCGUGAGUGAAGAAGCACUUCGGCAUGUAAAGCUCUAUCAGCAGGGAAGAAAGAAAUGACGGUACCUGACUAAGAAGCCCCGGCUAACUACGUGCCAGCAGCCGCGGUAAGACGUAGGGGGCAAGCGUUAUCCGGAUUUACUGGGUGUAAAGGGAGCGUAGACGGCGAUGCAAGUCUGAAGUGAACGGCGGGGGCCCAACCCCCGGACUGCUUUGGAAACUGUAUGGCUGGAGUGCAGGAGAGGUAGGUGGAAUUCCUGGUGUAGCGGUGAAAUGCGUAGAUAUUAGGAGGAACACCAGUGGCGAAGGCGGCUUACUGGACUGUAACUGACGUUGAGGCUCGAAAGCGUGGGGAGCAAACAGGAUUAGAUACCCUUGUAGUC
rnacentral:rRNA from 1 species